UACAGAGGGUGCGAGCGUUAAUCGGAGUUACUGGGCGUAAAGGGCGCGUAGGCGGUUGAGUAUGUGUGAUGUGAAAGCCCCGGGCUUAACCUGGGAAGUGCAUCGCAAGCUGCUCGACUUGAGUAGAUGAGAGGGUGGCGGAAUUUCCGGUGUAGCGGUGAAAUGCGUAGAGAUCGGAAGGAACGUCAAUGGCGAAGGCAGCCACCUGGCAUCAUACUGACGCUGAGGCGCGAAAGCGUGGGGAGCGAACAGG
rnacentral:rRNA from 1 species